rnacentral:rRNA from 1 species
UACGUAGGGUGCGAGCGUUGUCCGGAAUUACUGGGCGUAAAGAGCUCGUAGGUGGUUUGUCGCGUUGUUCGUGAAAUCUCACGGCUUAACUGUGAGCGUGCGGGCGAUACGGGCAGACUAGAGUACUGCAGGGGAGACUGGAAUUCCUGGUGUAGCGGUGGAAUGCGCAGAUAUCAGGAGGAACACCAGUGGCGAAGGCGGCUUACUGGUCCAUAACUGACGCUGAGGUGCGAAAGCGUGGGGAGCAAACAGG